CGGCAGCUACACAUGCAGUCGAGCGGUAGAGAGGUGCUUGCACCUCUUGAGAGCGGCGGACGGGUGAGUAAUGCCUAGGAAUCUGCCUGGUAGUGGGGGAUAACGCUCGGAAACGGACGCUAAUACCGCAUACGUCCUACGGGAGAAAGCAGGGGACCUUCGGGCCUUGCGCUAUCAGAUGAGCCUAGGUCGGAUUAGCUAGUUGGUGAGGUAAUGGCUCACCAAGGCGACGAUCCGUAACUGGUCUGAGAGGAUGAUCAGUCACACUGGAACUGAGACACGGUCCAGACUCCUACGGGAGGCAGCAGUGGGGAAUAUUGGACAAUGGGCGAAAGCCUGAUCCAGCCAUGCCGCGUGUGUGAAGAAGGUCUUCGGAUUGUAAAGCACUUUAAGUUGGGAGGAAGGGCAUUAACCUAAUACGUUAGUGUUUUGACGUUACCGACAGAAUAAGCACCGGCUAACUCUGUGCCAGCAGCCGCGGUAAUACAGAGGGUGCAAGCGUUAAUCGGAAUUACUGGGCGUAAAGCGCGCGUAGGUGGUUCGUUAAGUUGGAUGUGAAAUCCCCGGGCUCAACCUGGGAACUGCAUUCAAAACUGUCGAGCUAGAGUAUGGUAGAGGGUGGUGGAAUUUCCC
rnacentral:rRNA from 1 species